rnacentral:rRNA from 1 species
AUUGAACGCUGGCGGCAGGCCUAACACAUGCAAGUCGAACGAGCGGCGGACGGGUGAGUAAUGUCUGGGGAACUGCCCGAUGGAGGGGGAUAACUACUGGAAACGGUAGCUAAUACCGCAUACUAUCGGAUGUGCCCAUAUGGGAUUAGCUAGUAGGUGGGGUAAAGGCUCACCUAGGCGACGAUCUCUAGCUGGUCUGAGAGGAGGACCAGCCACACUGGAACUGAGACACGGCCCAGACUCCUACGGGAGGCAGCAGUGGGGAAUAGUGCAAAAUGGGCGCAAGCCUGAUGCAGCCAGGCCGCGUGUAUGAAGAAGGCCUUCGGGUUGUAAAGUACUUUCAGCGGGGAGGCGUUACCCGCAGAAGAAGCACCGGCUAACUCCGUGCCAGCAGCCGCGGUAAUUC